rnacentral:rRNA from 1 species
UACGGAGGUGGCGAGCGUUGUCCGGAUUUAUUGGGCGUAAAGCGCGCGCAGGUGGUGCGGUAAGUCUGUCGUGAAAUCUCCCGGCUCAACUGGGAGGGUGCGGUGGAGACUGCCGGACUGGAGGCACUCAGAGGCCGGUGGAAUUACCGGUGUAGUGGUGAAAUGCGUAGAGAUCGGGAGGAACACCAGUGGCGAAGGCGGCCGGCUGGGGGUGACCUGACGCUGAGGCGCGAAAGCGUGGGGAGCGAACCGG